CUGUUCAAAAACCUGUAUACCCUUAGUUCUUAAUAUUGUGUAUAACCUCCUUUAGCAUCAAUGACAGAGUGCAAUAUUUUGUAAUAGUUGUCUAUGCGGCCCCUAAUUCUUGUAGGUGGUAUAGCUGCCCAUGUGUCUUGGCAAAAUGCCUUCAGGUCAUGCAAAGUUGUUGGUCGUCUUGCAUGAACCACACAUUUGUGAUCUCACAGAGUGGCUCAAUGAUAUUAAGGUCAGGAGACUGAGAUGGCCAUUCUAGAACCUUCACGUUUUUCUGCUGUAACCACUGGAGGGCCAACUUGGCUUUGUGCUUAGGGUAUUUGUCAUGCUGGAAAGUCCAAGAGCGUCCCAUGUGCAGCCUUUGUGCAGAAGAAUGCAAAUUAUCUGCCAGUAUUUUC